rnacentral:rRNA from 1 species
AUACGUAGGGUGCAAGCGUUAAUCGGAAUUACUGGGCGUAAAGCGUGCGCAGGCGGUUAUAUAAGACAGAUGUGAAAUCCCCGGGCUCAACCUGGGAACUGCAUUUGUGACUGUAUAGCUAGAGUACGGCAGAGGGGGAUGGAAUUCCGCGUGUAGCAGUGAAAUGCGUAGAUAUGCGGAGGAACACCGAUGGCGAAGGCAAUCCCCUGGGCCUGUACUGACGCUCAUGCACGAAAGCGUGGGGAGCAAACAGGAUUAGAUACCCUGGUAGUCCACGCCCUAAACGAUGUCAACUGGUUGUUGGGAAUUCACUUUCUCAGUAACGAAGCUAACGCGUGAAGUUGACCGCCUGGGGAGUACGGCCGCAAGGUUGAA